CCAGCCUCCCCCGCCUCCCCAGCCUCCCCAGCAACCCCAGCCUCCCCAGCAACCCCCAGCCUCCUCCGCCUCCCCAGCCUCCCCCUCAACCCCAGCCUCCCCGGCCUCCUCCACAACCCCAGCCUCCCCAGCCUCCCCUGCCUCCCCAGCAACCCCAGCCUCCUCAGCAACCCCAGCCUCCCCAGCAACCCCAGCCUCCUCUGCCUCCCCAGCCUCCCCCUCAACCCCAGCCUCCCCGGCCUCCUCCGCAACCCCAGCCUCCCCCACAACCCCAGCCUCCCCCACCUCCCCAGCCUCCCCAGCAACCCCAGCCUCUCCUGCCUCCCUAGCUGGAGCCUGUGGACGCCUCCUCCAGGCACAGCAGCUCCGCAGCCACUGCUGGUCUCUGCCUCAGCCACAUCCAGGAAUUGUGGGUGCGCCUGGCAUGGCCUGACCCUGCCCAGGCUCAGGGGCUGGGCACCCAGCUUGGCCAGGACAUGUGUGAGGCCACCCUCUUCUAUACGGAGCUGCUUCGGAAGAAGGUGGACACUCAGCCAGGGGCGGCCGGUGAAGCAGUGAGCGAGGCGCUCUGCGUGGUCCUCAACAAUGUGGAGCUCGUGCGCAAGGCUGCUGGGCAGGCCUU
rnacentral:sRNA from 1 species